rnacentral:misc_RNA from 1 species
GGCUGUUGUUUGUGGUCUCUACCGACAAGGGAAGAUAAAUUUCCAUCCAAGGGAUGAAGAAGUUUUGGAAGAAGCUGAUAAAGUAUUGUUUAUUGGACCUGUUCAUGGUAAAAAAAGGCCGCAGCUGGCAUACUCAAAUAUUUCUGAUGAAAGUGACAAUGCCAUAAAUGAUUCUCACACUGUAGAAAAGAAUGGACAAUUCAGGAGUAGUACGU